AUGCCUCCUCACAGCCUGUUCUGUGUGCUGGUGGCCUUGGCUUUCUCUGGAUCUAAUGUGGCCGAGAAAGUGAUUCAGGUCUGGUCAACAGCAAGCAGGCAGGAGGGCGAAGAACUCACCCUGGACUGUUCAUAUGAGACAAGUCAGGUCUUAUACCAUCUUUUCUGGUACAAGCACCUUCUUAGUGGAGAGAUGGUUUUCCUUAUUCGACAAACGUCUUCUUCUACUGCAAAAGAGAGGAGCGGCCGCUAUUCUGUAGUCUUCCAGAAAUCACUCAAAUCCAUCAGCCUUAUCAUUUCAGCUUUACAACCAGACGAUUCGGGAAAGUAUUUCUGUGCUCUCUGGGAGCUGG